CCGUAUCGGAAGGUGCGGCUGGAUCACCUCCUUUCCAGAGCUUCUCGCAAAGUUGAGCGCUCACGCUUAUCGGCUGUAAAUUAAAGACAGACUCAGGG
rnacentral:rRNA from 1 species